ACCCACACAUCAGUACAUCAGUACACACAGUGUACACACUCUGCUCAUUGGGCUGUAAACACUCUGAUGUGUCCACGUCUCAUCUGUUCAGAGUGCUUACACCAGCUGUGGUUGUUACCUGUCAGGUGGGUAACAACGACGUGUUGCCAACGUUUUUAAUCUCAUCUAUCAUCAUCUGACUGGCUCAGAUGUUUUCUCCAGACUUGGAGAGCAGCAAUGGCCCUGUGUGGUCUCAAUAUACAAAUAUAAAAUGCUAAAAUGACUCACCUUGUGCAGGACGACCAAGUAAGAUCUCUGUGUGGGAAACACUGACCUGUGUACUGUUGGACUUUAUCAGAGUAUUUUAGCUUCUUUACUGCAGUAAAAUUCAACAGACGGCUGGCAUUUAAUAACCUCUGACCUCCAUGCUGAAGUCUGCCGACAGUCUGAUGGAGCCGAUGUGAUAUUUAAAUCCCUCAGACGGCUCAAAGUCUGACUCAAGUCCUUAAUGUCACACGUCUGAAAUGGGCUCAGGUCUGCUCUGUCACGCCGCUGAUAUCGCUUUACUGUUGCUAUGGAAACACCACCUGCCAAUCAGCUUCAUCGUUAUAGCCUGGCCUCUAGAGAUCAAUAAAGUCCCAUUCGUUAUCUUACUUGACAUUACCCACAAGCCCCCUGGAGACCAACAGGGAACUCUACCAAUCAGUGGAGCAGCUAUCACCAUGGUAACAGUUUCAUUAAGCUUCACAAUGGCUGACCUUUUUAAUAACUAGACACAAAGUAGAGUAACACUUGAUGUUACAGCUCAUCAAAGUGUUAAAUAAGUUUGAAUUAGCGUUAAAAUCCAACAAUUGAUCUAAAGACAAGCAGCUGGUUCAGCUGAAGGAUUUGCUGCUUUUCUUUCUAAUUUCUCACAGUAAACAAAGAGUCUUCAGGUUCGCUGGACAAAAGACAUCAGAGUCGUCAUGUUGAAACGUUAAGAUGUGAUUUCAUCUUCCAUUUUAAAGGAACACUCAGCUGUUCUGGCUGCUGACUGAUGCACAGCUGAUGGAUCAGUGAUCAGUUUCAUCUGGAGAUCAUCAGCCGUCUUCUCAUCUCUCUGAAGCCUCUCGUCUUUGUUCUGCCUCUGACUCAUUCAGAUACAUCAGCAGGAUUACACAUACAGAUGAUUGUUGCCUCGUCCAUAAGGUCCAGCGGAGGAACCAGGUUCAGCUGCUCUCCUUCUCACAGAGCUCAGGAUUCCUGAGAGCCGUCACAGGAACGCCACAGCAACCACAGAGGAACACAGCCGCCAUGUUAGUGUCAAAAAAAUUUGCAGGCUGUAUCCUCCAGGUGGUGCUGGACUUUCCUCUGGAGCAGGUUUUUCUGCUGGUCUUUGAGGCGGAGAUGUCUUGGUUUGACCGGCAACGCCACGGCCAGCAGAACGCAGCCGAUGUGGAGGCUGAA